rnacentral:tRNA from 1 species
GGCUCUGUAGCUCAGUUGGAAGAGCUCUCGACUGAAAAUCGAGGUGCAGCGGUUCAAUCCCGCUCAGAGCCA